UACGGAGGGUGCAAGCGUUAAUCGGAAGUACUGGGCGUAAAGGGUGCGUAGGCGGUUGUUUAAGUCUGUCGUGAAAUCCCCGGGCUCAACCUGGGAAUGGCGAUGGAUACUGGACAGCUAGAGUGUGUCAGAGGAUGGUGGAAUUCCCGGUGUAGCGGUGAAAUGCGUAGAGAUCGGGAGGAACAUCAGUGGCGAAGGCGGCCAUCUGGGACAACACUGACGCUGAAGCACGAAAGCGUGGGGAGCAAACAGG
rnacentral:rRNA from 1 species